GAAUUCAAAUGAGAAUUCAAAAGAAACCCCAAUCUUAAAAGCUAAGGGAGUCUUGCUGAAUACAGCAAACGGAACUGGAAUAUGGUGCAGCGACUGAGUCACGUCCUGGAUGAGGUUCUAAGGACACCUCCGAGGGCCGACCACCGUGUCUAGCCAAAAUUAUCCUUGGCCACAAAAUACUACCUUUUCACUUUUUUGGGCCAGUUUCUCUGCGGCCCUCAAGUCCCUGUCUUCCGGUGGUUUGCUUCCCAGCCGGUGGUGGAGCCCGUGGUGGAGCCCGUGGGGUCCGCGCGGGGCGGCGGGGCUGGAGAGGAGAAGCUCCGCACACCUGAGCCGGGAUGCGUCUCGUUCCCAGCGCGUCUCCCGGGGCUGCGCUCGGCGGGAGCGCUCAGGAGAAGGGUCCGUGGGCCACACGGUCUCCGCCCUUACGCCAGCAGCCCGGCCAAGGGCGGCGCAGAGCCAGCCCCGACCUCCCCGAGUGGGUCGGCGCCAGCGGAGGCCGAGCAUCGCCGACCACGGCCUCGGAGGCCGUAGAGCGGCGCCGCAAAGAGCCGCAGCCCCGCGUGAGCCCCUCAGCGUCUCCGCCGCGUCCCCGUCUGGACUCUUCUUCGCCCCCAGAGGGCGCCGGUGGGCGAGGCAGCCGGCCGCCCUGCGACUGCCCCUCACAAGCAUGGCGCUGGGCUGCCGCGGUGUCGAUGUGUCCUCCCCUCGCCGUCACGGCGCUGCGGGGGGCCGCGGGAAGGGCACGUGCCCCUCAUAAUCAUGGCGCCGGAGGGGCCCUCAGGCAUGGUACGCCCACCUCUCGCCCUGAGGGCGUCAGGGACGGCAAUCCCGACGUGCGCAGGCCCCUCACAACCACGGUAUCGCAACGCAACGGAAGUGCCUCUGUGCCCUGCAGUCGUAACGCCUGAACCCGGCACGGCCUCGGCUUUUCCACACUACCGUCCGCUUCCCUAACUGCAGUGCUGGCGGACGGUGUAACCUGGGCUUUGAAGGCGGGCAUCCGUCCUCACGCUCGUGGUGGCGCAAGUCCGCGGACAACUGCCCUCCACAAUCCUGCCGU
rnacentral:lncRNA from 1 species